UAAGAGAGGAAUAGAAAUAGUGGGAAAUCCUUUUUAUUUAAAUAGUAUAAUAUUAUAGAUAUGCUAAAGUCUUCCCAGUUAAAUAGCAGACAGCUCUCAAGAGAGGGAUGUGAUUGGGGGCAGCUCUGAGUAGCUUCAGGCUGGACUCCCAGUGGAGGAUGAUCCCCUGGGAAGGAGAAGCAGGUCCUGGUACAGAGAUCAGCUUAGCAGAGUGUGAAGGUCAAGGUCUUGUCAUGCAGGCAAGCAAGGGACCUCAUACAACUAUACCGUCUCUGCUGGAGCCUGACCAGUUUGCAUAAAACAUCAACAGGAACUAUUUCAGAAGAACCAUUGCUCAAUGCUUUCUAAAGUAGUGAAUUGUGAAAUGGGCCUACUUUUGGAUUUCUUGAGAAACAAUUGUGGAAGCAAAGAAAAGAAGAGCUUUGGAAGACACUGUUAAGAAAACCAAGAACCAUUUUAGUCUUGAGAUGGAAAGACACCAAAGUCAAGAGGAUCACGGACAGAGGACUGGCAUCUAUGAUGAGUGGCCAUCAGAGAAGGAAGAGAAAAUCCUUAAGAAGGUGACUGUCAAGGUUGACUGAGCAUGAGAAUCAUCUGGCUGAGAAACUAAAACAUGUAAGUCCCUGGCCAGGGAAAUUCUGAAUUCAGACAAACUUGGAGUGAAGCCCGUGUUUUUAUAGCCCAGAUGAGUCCCAUGCAGACAGGUAAGCGCUGUGAGCCAGGCGUGCUGAUUGGCUACUAAUGACGGACUUCGGCUCAAUUCCUGCCCCACUGCGGAUUUCAGGGUCCAUUUCGGACAUUCACAAGUGGCACUCAGGCCUUCUACGUCAUUUCUCUAGUGAUCUACGGUUGAAUCUGGUUCCAUUCUCACUGAAUUGGAAGGAAGGGUGCACUCUCGGGAUCAGGUGAUUGAUUCACUCAAGCCCAUCCCCAGGGUUCUGACCAACUGUGGAGCAGACCUCACCUCCCCAGGUCUGCCCAUGGCAGCCACGCCCUUUCUAGGACCUGCUCGUUCUGUACUACUUACGGCUCACGAAGGAAGCAGAGAAGCCCUGAGCCGGGGCCUCCUGAGACUGGAACACUGCAGUGAAGACGUUUCUGGGCGUGGUGAUGGGCCCCGGGGCCACGUUCCCGCAGCUCGUGGCUAAAAGGGUCUGGCUGGACUCCUGAGUGUCGGCCCACACCUAACAGAGCCAGAAACAGGACUUAAUGCCCCAGGCUUUCCCUGGUCAACAGUUAAAUGUGCUCAGGCUGGAACACGACGGGCACUCAGAUGUAUAGAGACCGAAACACAAUGGUAAAUAAAACCCAUGCACAUCUGCAGUAUUUUCUUUUGCGAACCAUUUAAGCUGUUUUUGUUUUGUUUUGUUUUGUUUUUUUAGCACAGCCCAUUCUUGACUCUUCCAAGGAAACUGCUCAUUUUUGUGUAGACAGGCCAUUUCCUUUUGCCUUCUCCUAGUUGACCUGAUCUAGUUGAACUUGCCCAACCCCCAACUAAGCAUUACCUAGCGCAAGAAGGCAAGAAGGGAAUUGGGUUUGGAUUGGUCUUACUUGACUACUCAACAUUUCCUUCACAUUGAAUUACUCAUUCUAAACUUAGCACUUGUAGGAAUGUUCCUCGAACAAAGUCAUAACACAUCAAGCUGUUAUAGGCAUUGCUAUUAGCAACUUGGCCCAGAGGAAGAAGUGUGAGGGAGACCAAAUGCAGAGCACAGAUUUACUAUCAGCUCUUCAAGGUCAUGUCAUUUCAAGUGAUUUUCAAACACUGCAUAUCCUGCUGUUACUCAGCUUACUGAAGUCAGAUUAUAUUUGCCAUGUAUGAGAUAUGGGAGGUGCCUGGGGCUGGAACUACUGAUAACAAGAGUGAGGAUAUUCUGCCAAAUAUCUAAGAUCAAAAUAAGCAUCAGGAAAGAAAUGCACACCCACAUUUUCCCUAGCAUCCCCUUUAUGUCCUCCCACUCCCUGCCCUUAACUAUCCAGGAAAACACUAUACAGAUGUUUUCUAGCCACAUUCUGUACUAUGUGUAUUUUUAAUUCAGUAAAAUUAUAAACAUGACUUACUAAGAGAUCUGCAUAUAUUCUUUUUACAAACAUCACUGAAAAGGCAAAAUGAUCAGAGCUAAAACUUUUAUGAAAGCGUCUCAACUUCUUCAAUAAGGAACUUCAAGAAUCCUCAAAGGCUUAUGCCUUCCUGAAGUCAUUAAUUAUGGAUCUGACAUCUCUACCUUUUGGCCCCAGAUCAUAGGUGUUAUCAUGAUAAUAAUGGUAAGGAGUUAUUAAAUAUUCAUUGCUGCUGUGUCAGUCAAGAUCUCAUUUCAUUGGCUCGAUGACCUAGAACUCUUAAAUAUUAGAUCUACAAAAUGUUACAAAACUGGCAAAAACUUUCUGACUUUUCUUAAGGUUUGUACAAUUCAGCCUGGCUGCAUGUGAUAUUUUAUCACUCAAGUGAUUUUUAAAAAAAAAAUAUGUUUAUUGAGUACCUGCAGAUUCACAUGCAGUUGUAAGACAUAGAAGAAUCCCUGGUACACAUUUCCCAGUUUCCUCUAAUACUGACAUCUCAUAAAACUAUCACUAAUAUCAUAAGCAGGAGGUGGACUUGAUACAGUCCACCUACCUUUCUCAAUUUCCCAGUGUCACUUGUAUUCACACAUAUGUGUGUAUACAUUUGGUUAUACACCAGUUUAGACAGUAAGUCCCCUACACAUGAAGCUUCAAGUUGUGAACUUUUAAAGAAGUGAAUGUGUGUUCACAUGUCCAAUCACGUACGUCAGUUCACAUGUCUGGUAUACCUUGUCAUGUGCCUGUAUCCUCUACAGUGGUUGUGGUUUCAUGUAUUUUACUGUACAGUACUAUAGAGAGUACGGUAGUGCAGUAUCUUUAUUUCAAGUCCAGGAUGUCCAGAAGCAAGCAUAAAAGCAGCAGUGAUGUAGUUGGAACUACUGUACUUUUCAAGGUACUGUACUGUAAAGUUCAGUUCA